rnacentral:lncRNA from 1 species
CCUUACGGUGACCACUGGCGAAACCUCCGUCGUAUCACAGCCUUGGAAGUCUUCUCCACAAAUCGACUCAACGGGUCAUCGGAAAUCCGACAGGACGAAGUUAAGAGGCUUCUCCAAAAGCUUCACGGUUUAUCCGUUGAGCGCCCGGCUAAAGUACGUCCAAAAAAUCGUAUAUCUUUAUUAAAAUCCAACUCUUCUAUAUUUAAUUCAUUGGUUGUUAAUUCACGCAAGUAUUAUAUUAUAUUAUAUACCUACAUAAUACGACGAAUAGAAUUUUCUCGACUUUCGACAUAUUUAAUUUAUAUCAAUAUUUUUUAUCAGUGAUUCUCAAUUAAAUCAGUUAUUUAUAGACUUUAAAAUAUUUAAGUUAACGUCGUUUUUUUUAAAGAGAAGUACCCUAAAAUUAAUAAUACUAUAAUACAGCCAAUAUGUUAUAUUAUAAUAAAUAAAUAUAAUCUUUUUUUUGAAGGUUUAUAGAUUUUUGUUUGGCUAAGAUUUAGAUUUCGUUAUGUUUCGUAGAGAAUGUGGUAAUGGGUGGAAUGCGUGUAAUCAGCUCUAAUUUUGUUUUUACUCAUUCGUUGAAAGAAACAUGGAUAUUUUAAUUGAUAUAAAUUUGCCCGAUUUAGUAGGUCGAACGAUCGGUCCGUAUUUUUUCUUUUAUAUCAAUAUCCGGAUCCAGAAAAUAAUAUGUCUUUACAUCCGAUUAUGGACUUUAAAGUAAAACAAAAAAAAACAUAACAAGAACAUCAUUUUAUUCAGGUGGAGUUUUGUUUUGGUAACAAUGUUAAGUGUAUAUUCAGGUGGAGUUACGUCCGUUACUGACGGGUCUUACCCUAAACGUGAUAAUGAGAAUGAUGACCGGAAGGAGAUUUUGCGAGGAAGAUGAAGGCGGAAAGGCGGAGAUAAGCUUGGAGUUCCGGGAGCUUGUGGCGGAGAUUCUAGAGCUCUCUGCGGCGAAUAAUCCGGCGGA